GUACCCUCAAGCUCUGCUUGGUGUUGGGUGUUUGUCCAUUCCUCUGUGUUUGGACUCGCCUUAAAGCAAUUGGCAGCCAGUGUUUUGGUAUUGAAGCGCAGCACAUUUUGCGUCUCUAGCCUAGAAAUGCUGGCGUCCAGUAAGCCUUUUUCCAC
rnacentral:misc_RNA from 1 species